rnacentral:rRNA from 1 species
AACUUAAAGGAAGUUGACGGGGCCCGCACAAGCGGUGGAGUAUGUGGUUUUAAUUCGAUGCAACGCGAAGAACCUUACCUAGGUUUGACAUCCGGAAGACCUUCCCGAAAAGGAAGGGUGCCCUUCGGGGAAUUCCGAGACAGGUGCUGCAUGGCUGUCGUUAGCUCGUGCCGUGAGGUGUUGGGUUAAGUCCCGCAACGAGCGCAACCCUAUUGCCAGUUGCUACCAGGUAAUGCUGGGCACUCUGGUGAGACUGCCCCGGUUAACGGGGAGGAAGGUGGGGACGACGUCAAGUCAUCAUGGCCCUUACGCCUAGGGCUACACACGUACUACAAUGGCGCAUACAAAGGGCAGCGAUACCGCGAGGUGGAGCCAAUCCCAAAAAGUGCGUCCCAGUCCGGAUUGCAGUCUGCAACUCGACUACAUGAAGUUGGAAUCGCUAGUAAUUCGAGAUCAGCAUGCUCGGGUGAAUGCGUUCCCGGGCCUU